rnacentral:rRNA from 1 species
CAUGCAAGUCGAGGGGCAGCAUGAACUUAGCUUGCUAAGUUUGAUGGCGACCGGCGCACGGGUGAGUAACACGUAUCCAACCUGCCGAUGACUCGGGGAUAGCCUUUCGAAAGAAAGAUUAAUACCCGAUGGCAUAGUUCUUCCGCAUGGUAGAACUAUUAAAGAAUUUCGGUCAUCGAUGGGGAUGCGUUCCAUUAGGUUGUUGGCGGGGUAACGGCCCACCAAGCCUUCGAUGGAUAGGGGUUCUGAGAGGAAGGUCCCCCACAUUGGAACUGAGACACGGUCCAAACUCCUACGGGAGGCAGCAGUGAGGAAUAUUGGUCAAUGGACGAGAGUCUGAACCAGCCAAGUAGCGUGAAGGAUGACUGCCCUAUGGGUUGUAAACUUCUUUUAUACGGGAAUAAAGUGAGGCACGUGUGCCUUUUUGUAUGUACCGUAUGAAUAAGGAUCGGCUAACUCCGUGCCAGCAGCCGCGGUAAUACGGAGGAUCCGAGCGUUAUCCGGAUUUAUUGGGUUUAAAGGGAGCGUAGGCGGACGCUUAAGUCAGUUGUGAAAGUUUGCGGCUCAACCGUAAAAUUGCAGUUGAUACUGGGUGUCUUGAGU